rnacentral:lncRNA from 1 species
UUUGCUAUUACUGUGGACGCGAGGAAAGAACUACUAAAAGAUCAACAUCUCAACGAUGAUAAAACUUCUAUUGAGGAAAAUGGGCCAAAAUCUAUUUUAAACCGUCUCAACGAUGAGAAGUUCGAUCCCAAACGUCCCGAGUUGUUUGGUUAUCAUUACGACGACGAUGAUAAAAAAGACAAGGCAUCAUCAUUUGAGAAGUUCGAUUCCAAACGUCCUGAGUUUUUUGGUUAUCAUUACGACGACAAUGAUAAAAAAGACAAGUCAACGUCAUUUGAGAAGUUCGAUCCCAAACGUCCUGAGUUCCUUCACUAUGGUUACAACGAUGAUGAUAAAAAAGACAAGUCAACGUCAUUUGAGAAGUUCGAUCCCAAACGUCCUGAGUUCCUUCACUAUGGUUACAACGAUGAUGAUAAAAAAGACAAGUCAACGUCAUUUGAGAAGUUCGAUCCUAAACGUCCUGAGUUCUUUCACUAUGGUUACAAUGAUGAUGAUAAAAAAGACAAGUCAACGUCAUUUGAGAAGUUCGAUCCUAAACGUCCUGAGUUCUUUCACUAUGGUUACAAUGAUGAUGAUAAAAAAGACAAGUCAACGUCAUUUGAGAAGUUCGAUCCUAAACGUCCUGAGUUCCUUCACUAUGGUUACAACGAUGAUGAUAAACAAGACAAGUCAACAUCAUUUGAGAAGUUCGAUCCUAAACGUCCUGAGUUCCUUCACUAUAGUUACAACGACGAUGAUAAAAAAGAUAAGUCAACGUCAUUUGAGAAGUUCGAUCCUAAACGUCCUGAGUUCCUUCACUAUGGUUACAACGAUGAUGAUAACACUGACAAAUUAUCAUCUGUUCAAAAUUUUGAGCGUUGGGUUCCUCUUCCAUCAUUUCAUUAUACUUACAGCGACGAUGAUAACACAGAGAAAUCAUCGUCAUUUGAGAAAUUUGAUCCCAAACAUAAGAACUUGCUUCACUAUCACUACAACGACAACAAAGAAAAAUCAUCACCGCUCGAGCAUAAUAAGCCGUCGUCUCUUAUUGAAGAGAUCCCAGGCGGCAACAAUGAUCAUAAGGAGACCAUGUAAAUUAGGCAUCCAGAGGAGCAUAUGGGUUUUAAUGAAAUUGUAUAAUGUUUUAUGUAUUUAAACGUUAUGUCCUCUAUGUAUGGGAGUGCUUACUUAUUAAAGAAAAAUAAAAAUGGCGUCGCCAUAUAUGAUAAUUGAAUAAAAGUAACACUUCAUUUCCUUCCUCUUUUCUCAAGCAAUUUAGUUUUCUUUAUCUAUUGUCUUUGUUCGUAGCUAAACACACAAGGUUGCCAAUUUAGUCGGAUUAUGAUAAAAUAUAUGUAUUAUUAUAUAUAUUUAACUUUAAAAAUAAUAAUUAACGAUAUGUGUAAAGGAGAACAUCAAAAUCCUAGCAACUUUCUCUCUCUUUUUUUUUUCCAUUGCAAUCGUUUUCUUCUUUCUCCAUCAAAAGCCAAGAAUCAAGCAUGUAGGUUUAUAUAUAUAUAUAUAUAAACCUGUAACUUACAUUAUUUUAAUGACAUUGUAGAUUUAUACAUUGAAUAGUAUUACUGAUUUAUUUAGUAGAAUCAAUAGUGUAAUUUUCCUUUGAAUUCUAGAAUAUAAAUAUAUUUUUCUUUUUCCUAGUAAGUGCAUUCUUGUGCUUAUAAUUUUUUUUAGCAUUAAAUAUUUUGUUUUUUAAAAGCCUAUAAAUCCUGAUCUCAAAACAGGUAAUUUUUCGUGUUAAUAUCAUAUUUUUUAAUGAAAAAUCCUUACCAUUUAUCAAAUCUCAUGUAAUUAUUGCCUUUUGGUUUGUGGUUGUGGUUUAUAUGUAAUUUCUUAAGUACUUUGGAUAUGUUCGGACAAAAUUUGUUGUUUUGAUAGCUAUUUAUUAUUUGAAUAAUAUUUAAUGGUCAGUUGUUUUAGUAGUUUUUCAUAAAAUGAUAAAAGUUAAACGUUACAUGAGUUAACUUUUUAAAUAUUAAAUUAUAUAACGAGAUUGAAUUAUUUGAAAGUACAUGAAAUAUACAUAAUAUAAAUGGUUCAAGUAAAACUUUAAUUACAAGUAAAUUAGAAUCUCAAAAUUUAUAAAUUAAAUAAUAAAAAUAAUUAUUUUAUAUAGAUAUAUAUUUCUUUUAAUUAAGAAACUUGAAAAAAUAUAUUAAGUACAAAUUAUAAAUUCAAAUUUAUAAAUUAGAGGUUAUAAAUUCAUGAUAUAUGAACCUUUAUAUUACAUAGUUGUAAACCAAACAAAUUUUAUUCAAAAGCUAUAUAAGUAUAGAAUAUGUUUAUUUUUGAACAAAGUAAAACAGAAUUUAUAAUGAAAAUAAGAUUGAUCAAAUUUAAAUUUAAAGAUUAAUUAGUUUUAAAAUAAUUAUUUUAUAUAUAUGGACCAGUGUAAUUUAAUAUUUUAAAAAUUAAAUAAAUAUUUUUAUGACCAAAUAUAUAAUGUGGAUUAUUUAAAAAAAUAAAUGAAUUUAAAAUAAUUAAGACUAGCUAAACUACAAAUUAGAAGUCACAAGAUACGAUAUAUAUAAUUUAAUAUAUAUAAUUCGAUAUUAUAAAAGGGGAGAAAUUUAUAAGUCUAGCAUUUAUAUAUAUAUAAUAUAAUUUCAAUUGCAUAGGUACAUAAUAAAUUUUUUAACACUAAGAUAAUAAAAUUUUAUAGUUAUUUAUUCAAAGUUUAAAUAAUUUAUUUUGAUUAAAUAUAUUUGAAAUAUUGGAUAAUUAUUUAUCUGUGAAUUUUUUUUAUGUUUGUGUUGAAAAUAGUUUUUUUUUUUAAUUUACACAAUUAAAUAGUUUUUUAUUUUUAAUAAUAUUAAAUAAAUAUUAAAUAAAAAAUAAAUAUUAAAUAAAUAUUAAAUUUUUAAUAAUAAAUAAUAGUUUUUUUGAUAACCAAUUCUAUAGAUAACAAAUCAUUUGCUAAAAGCUCCGCCGAUCAGACCAUCUCACAUCACCGACAACGCCUCUACAGGGGCUUCAUCCACACUAUCAUCAUCACUUAUAGUUAUCAUCCUUUGAAUCAAUAAUGUAAUUUUCCUUUGAGUUCUAGAAUAUAAAUAUAUUUUUCUUUUUCCCAGUAAGUGCAUUCUUGUGCUUAUAAUUUUUUUUAGCAUUAAAUAUUUAGUUUUUUAAAAGCCUAUAAAUCCUGAUAUCGAAAAAGGUAAUUUUUCGUGUUAAUAUCAUAUUUUUUUAAUGAAAAAUCCUUACCAUCGAUCAAAUCUCAUGUAAUUGUUGUCUUUUGGUUUGUGGUUGUGGUUUAUAUGUAAUUUUUUAAGUACUUUGGAUGUGUUCGUCAAGAUUAGUUGUUUUAGCAGCUGUUAACUGUUUGAAUGACAUUUAAUGUUUAGUUGUUUUAGUAGCUUUUCAUAAAAUAGUAAAAGUUAAACUUUAUAUGAGUUAACUUUUUAUAAAUUGCUGGCUUAAUCUCUAUAAGUUAGUUCAAAAGUUAUAUUACCGAACACUAUAAAAAAAUACGUUUAACAUUUUGACCAAUCAAAAUAUUAAAAGCUACUUAAAAAACUAUUACCGAACACGACCUUUGACUUGUAGUUUUUUUGCAAGUGGUUGCUAAGCCUCAACUUGUUGUUACUGAAUUAAGAAUUUAUGUCAAGAGUUUAUUAGAAAUAUGUAGGACUUAUGAAUAUAAUAUUCCUUUAAAUUUUCACUAUUUUGACUUUUUUUAACCUGUUUCAAAGUUACUAGUUAAAUGAUGAUUGUUUAAAUAAAAUUUUAUUUAAAUAUUAUGAUUAAUAAAAUAAUUAACUGUGCCAAUCAGAUAUAAUUUUAUUAAUUUUUUUCAUUUAUAUGAAGAGUGAGAGAUCUAGAGUUCGAGUCCUCUUGAUCACAAAGUUUUCACCAAUUUAGUGAAUUAAAGAGAACUUUAUUCAUAUUGUGUAGCGCAUGGUAUUAUUUAAGCCAUUUUGGCCUUCUACUGGAUAAAAAAAAUUCACUGUAAGCAGCAAAAACUGUAAAUAAUUGCUUAUACCCAUUUCGACUACUCAUCCAACUACCCAUUUACCAACUAUCAGAAUCACAUGGUUGGUAGCCUAUUAUUGAUAACCAAAUAACUAUAUAUCCAUCUGCCACUGUCAAUCAUCACAAAUAACUAAACCAGAAUGAUUUUUAAAUGAUUAUCCAUGGUGUGUCUCCCUAAAGACAAGAAAAGGAAAAGGAAAACAUUGGACCACACCUAUGUAAGGAUGAAGGAAGGGUGUGAGGAGUGUCUCAAGUUCCUUUAACCAUAAUUUUCUUUUAUAUUUAUCUUCUAAAAUAUUGAAGAUUUUUAAUUUUGCUCCUUAAAUUUCAAGUUUUUUGCCGUACCGGCCCCAUUAUUACACGUGUAAAAUCUAAUUAUACUUUAUAUUUAGAUAAACUAUAGUUUUGGCCUUAAACUUUUCGAGUUGUUCCAAUUUCACUCUAAAUUAACUUUUAUUUUGCUGAAUUUUGCAUAUGUUAUUUAAUUGUAUCCAUAGUUUUAAAAUUGGACUUAAUUGAAAGAGACUAAAGAAAAAAUAUGAGAUCCACAUAUUUUCUGUGGGUUAAGGUAAUCCAAUAUUGUUUAACUAGCGAAAAAUGCAUUACUCUGUAUAAGGAUAAGACUUGCUCACACUCAAUAUGUAUGGGUGGUUCUAUAGACGAAACCAAUAAAAAAGAUUGUUUUUAAAAACUCUUACGCUCUAUCCUUUUUGUUUGUAUGAUAAAAAAUGCUUUCAUUUGAAACAAAUCACUUUUUGUGAUUAGUUUGUAAAUGAGUGAGUUCAUUCACUGACAUUGAGUGCAGGUAAGUCUUUCCUUUGUAUAAAGGGAAGAAAAAAAAGACAAAACAAACUUCAAAAUCAUUUAGAUUAUGUGGUAUGCUUCUAUAUUAAAGUGAAUUAUUAUUCAAAUAUGUGAAAAGUGAGAAGUCUGGAGUUCUAAUCCACUCGAUCAUAAAAACUUUCACUAACUUGGAGAAUUAAGGAAAGAAUUACUCUUAUUGUGUAGCCUAUUAAAUUAUUUUUGGCUCGUCUAAUUACUUCAUUAUGGUUACAAUUUGAAAACUUCGGAGGCAAGACCAAAUCCAUCUAAGUGGCCCUAAUUUCUUUCUUUCCUAUUCAAUUAUAAGAAUGUCUUUCAACUUUUAUAUUCACCCUACAAUAUCUUCUUCCCGCACGAGGAUAAAGAACAAAAGGAUAGUGUGAAAUACGUUGAAUUUUUAGAAUCUAAUGGGGUCUUCCCUAAAAAAAUGAUUUUAGAUUCCAUGGCACGCUGAGUGAAUUAUUAUUGGAAACACGAAGUUGUCAAGAUUCCGUGGCUUUGUUUUGCUGUUUUUGUUUUUUCUAAAUAAAUUAGAAUAUUAAUUUAUUUUUACAUGAAAUAAUAAAAACAAAAUGAUUGAAUAUAAAUUAACAAAUAGAGUAAAAGCCUUAACACCUAUAAAAUAAUAAUUGAGGAAAAUUAAUAAAAUUUAGUAAAAAACCGAUCAUAAUUGAAAUUUUGAUAUUUUAGUUGUGUUAGGCAACAGUUUUUUUGAGUAGCUUUUAACAUUUCGACUGGUUAUAACACUAAAUACUAUUUUGUAUAAUCUGAUUUCUGUAAUGACAUUAGCGCCAUUAAUAAACUAAUUGUUUCUUUUGUUACCUAUGGAUUUUAAUAUUGGAACUUUAUAGUAUGUUGCUACUUUACGAGAACAAUUGGAACAACUGGCUGAAGAGAGAACUCUAGAUGGCUUACCUAGGUAUGCGUGCUUUCUUUUAUAUCUUCUCUUAAAUUUGUUUUGAAUUGUAAUUGAACUUUGAAAAACUUUAAUCAAAUUUUCAUGGAUAACCAAUAUUGGAACUUUUUGUAAAUGUCCUUUUCAAGGAAAAUUGACUUGUUAAUAAUACAUCUAAGUUCUUUGAUUGUGAGCCAGAUUUCUCUUCCCCUUUGCAUUUGAGUUGGCCUUUUCUGUUCGGUAGCCAUUAUCAAUCCAAUAAAUCAAAUGUGGCUGGAGUUGUAUUUUAUGUAACAAUCUCUAAGAUUUAAAUGCAGUGCUACUUUUAACUUCUCUUUGAAUACAUUUCAACAGAGUUUCAAAGGCUAAGGUCAAUGAUUAUUCAGAAAAGAUUGAAGCCAUUGCUUCCAGAUUAGCUGCCCCAUUGGUGCGUUGCAUUGGAUACUUUUAAAUUAUUAAUGUGAUUGUGAACUUUAGCAACACUUCUAAAAUUAGUUGCACUAGCAGAUAUUUGAACAUAGUUCGAAGAGUAAGUUUUCUUCUUUUCAUUUCCUCCCUCAAGGGACUAAAAACUGUUGAAAUGCCAUUGCCAUUAUAAUGUGGUAGAGCUUCAAUAACUGUGAUGUAAACAGACUGAAGAUACGGGGUUAUGUUUCUGUAGAAGAAAACAUAAGAGCAAAUCUUGACCGAUUUCACUUUUGUUGAAAAGACUGUACAUAGGAUUUUGAUAUUACUGUCCACAAAUUAAUUCUUUUUUUUUUUAAUUAUCUCUUGAAUGAACUGUUCUUCUUCCCUCUCAGCUAAUAUGUUGACUUCAUGGAUUGCAAUACAUUCUCCUUGGUUUAAUUGCUUUUGUUGCCUGUUCUACUUCUUCUAACUGUUCCCCCCUUUGGUUACAGUGACUAAGCGUACUGAUUACAACUUAAAAGCAUACUAUAUGUUGUUUGUGUCAUCUAACCAUGCAUGCAAUCUAUGAUGUUGCCUCAAUUUGUUUGUCCUAUUAAUUGUCAGUAUUGGCAGUGGUUGAUGUUGUAACAUCUAACCAUUUUUUAUGCGGCUAAUUCUCAGCCUCAGAUUCGGUAUCUGAAGAGCCUUUUGCUGAGAGUUCAAUGAGCGAAAGUCCUAAAGCAGAUGGAGAAACUCAGUUCCCUUCUUCUCCUGGCUUGAGAAGAAGACUUGUGUAAUGAAUCUCUAGUUGUUAGGAUUUAUGUGAUUCAUGCAAUUUCCCUUUUGGUGUUCAUUUCUUUUUCCUCCUUCUGUUUCUAUAUUUAUUUCAUUAUGAUUUUUGUUGUUCUUUGAACAGGGCAGCCCCAAAUUUUGAUGAUAGAACUCAUGAAAUCACUCAGGUUGAUACAUCAGCCCCUGUCAAACUGGAUGCUGCAGCAAAAACACACAUUGAAAAGCACAGGUACUUUUACUGUUUGAUUGGGGUACACCCAAUCAUGAUGUGAUAAUUUCAAAGAUUACAUAGUAAUCCACUCUUAGAUCUGUAAUCUAAGUUUUUCAAGUAAAAAUGUUGCAUUUAAUUCUACAUAAAACCCAGUGGAGUUCCACAUAAACUCAUACAGCCAUUGUUUGCUAAAGAUGCAUUGACUACAGACCAAGGAUGGUCCUCUUGAGGGCAUUGGGUGAUUAUUCAUGAUUCUAUUUGUAGAGGUGUGCAUCAGUGGAUUCGGUUUGACCGAAUUAACCAGUAAUCAAAAUAGGGGAAACUAAACCAAAUUGAAUUACAUAUAUGAAUCAAACAUUUUGGUUCAGUUUGGUUGGCUCCAUACUGAAUCCUUUUGUUCUUGUGUGUGUGUGUGUGUGUGUGUGUGUUGUUUGGUUUUUUUGGUUAAAAUGAUCAUCUGAAGACCGAAACAUGGUUAACAUGUUCAUCUGAUGACUGAAACAUGGUUAACAUGGUUGGCUCCAUACCAUGGUCAUCUGAUGACCGAACCAAAUAAGAGGCCCAAAUCUUUGCUAAUCGAAUCAAACCACAUAUUUCGGUUUGGUUAGUUGGUUAUUACCAACUAAUGCACACCCUUACUCCCCUAGCUAUUUUGGCAUUUCAAUGGGAUAAUGUGUACACCAUAAGCAAGAUAGUAGUGGAAUUUUGGUGUAACAUGGUGCCCUGCUUGGCAUCAGCCUAGUAUUGUUCAGAGAGCGGGACAGAACAAGUAUUUGAGCAAGAGGGGAACUGGGAUUGGAGUGGAAGGUAAGUCAGACACCAAAUUGAUCUUUAAUAUUUAUUAUGUUUCUUUCCCUACCGAGACGAAAGCCAAAGGUGAGUCUCGUAGGUGGACGUAUUGAACCGAAAAAAGAUCUCACUCCCCUGUCUCAACUCGCUUUCCAGGGAUAAGGUGAAAAUGAAAGGUUCAUUGCAAAUUGGAGUUUAUUGCAACAGGAUUUACAUAAAUAACAAUGCUUCAAUACAUUUAAAGUUUCUUAGUCCUCCUUCUUGACUGUUGCUUAUAGUACUAUAUUUAUAACGGUACAAUGUAGUUUCCUGAAAGUAAUAUGAUUAAUGAGUAAAAUUUUCAUGAUAUAGGCAGAGAUAUUCAAAAACAUAAUUUGUUCUGCAUAUUUUCUUGCUCCAAGUUCCAAAGAUUGAAUCUAGGACUACCUAGUUGCUUCAAAGAUCAUCAACUUCUGAUUAAACUUUUGUAUCCUAUUGCAGAAAGCUUCAAGAAGACCUGACAGAUGAAAUGGUUGGGUUGGCACAACAACUAAAAGAGAGUAGUCUCUUGAUGAGCCAGUCCUUGCAAAAUACUGAAAAGGUAAUGAUUUUUGGAACCAAAUGUAUUACCUUCUGAGGAGAUGUGCAAUUGUAGCUUUGGUGAGUGAUUCUGCAUGUUCUGGGGAGGCAGCAUUAGAGGAUCGCGUAAUCCAUUAUUCUUUGUGUACAAGUUAGCUAAUGAGUAUCUCUAACAUGGUAAUGAUUUAGAAACUACUAGGAUUGUGAAGAAGUGUCAUUUUCCUUCUGCCAUUAAUUGAUUGAUGUGAAGCGUCUGAGUUCUAUCUUAAAAUUGCUCAGAUUUGUAAAUGCUGUGAAGGAGAGGUUGGGAGUGGCAAUCAGAGAGAUAUCUAUAGCAGCAUUUUUCUGAAUUUAAUCUGUGGGAAUUGAUGUUCUAUUGAGGUCUUGUAUUUUGACAUACUAAUCACUCUAUUAAGCGAUGAAAGUUGCUAGGAUAUGAAAUUCUUCUUGAUUAAUGAUGAAUUGAAGAACAACUACUGAACCAUUUCUGUACUCAUGCAGUAAUCGAUAAGCUGCUAAUUGUGUUAAUUGACUUGGAAUGGGCCCUUAAGGAAUUAACAAGUACAGAUCUAUAAAAUUGUAAAAGCCAUAAGAGGACAGGCUUUUAUAAGAAAAAUCUACCCUGUAAUUUUUUUUUCCCUACCAAUGAUUGGAUGGUGGACUCACCGACAAAUGAGGUAAGGGAAAUUGAGAAGCAACUUUCUACUUCAACCUUUUUUCUUCUUGAUAUGGUAAACAACUUGCCUUGAGCUCAUAAUUUGUUUGUAUUUUUCAAUUUUCUUUGAAAUAAUGGCAGUAGCAACUAAAACUUCUAGUUGAUGAGUGUAUGCAUCAUGAAUUUCUACAUUACCACUUAUCAUGUGGAAAUUCAGAUUUCUGUUCAUUUACGUAUUAUAGAUACUUGAAUUUAAUACUUAUCAAAAUGUGAUUGCAAAGAUCAUGUAUAUCGAUCUGGGACUAUUUUUUAAACUGAUGCUCUUCUUGUACAUGUCAGAAAGUUUUUGCAUUCAAUGGCUGUAAAAAAAGAAAUACAUAAAUUUAUUAGAUGAAGCUAAAACAACAUAUAUGCAAGUUUUUAUUUCUAGUCUCAAAACCUAAAUGUUUGUUUUGGUGCAGAUACUCGAUUCUACAGAGAACGCUAUUGAGCAAAGCUUGGCAGGCACUGGCCGUGCCAAUGUCCGAGCCUUGGAGAUAUACUCGAAAAGUUCUAAAACUACAUGCUUCACUUGGCUUCUGAUUUUUCUAAUGACAUGUGUCUUCAUCAUGGUUGUACUCCUAAUUCGCGUCACUUAGAAGUUUCUUCAAGGUAAGCAAGUUUCGACAUGGUAAUGCUGCUGUCUUGCAAUGCGAGUCAAGUGUUUAACCAUUUGUUCAAAAUCAACUGGUUUUUUAUGAAAGUGGUGCCUAAUGAUUUAAUUUUUCUACCAGAAAUCAUUUUGUGACGAUACGGAGAUUAAUGACAAAUAAUAUGUAAUAUUUUCUUAUUCUGUGUUGUUUGAGGUUAUGUUGGGAUUUAUAUUUUAAUCGACGGACAACUGAUUCUGAAAUAAGUUUAACACUCAUAUUAUGAUUGUAUUUUUUUUUCUUUUUUCUUUUUUAAUAUAAUGUCUUUUAUUUUAUUUUGAAUUAAAAUAAAUAACUAGAAAACAUUACUAAACAAAAAUUAAUUAAUUAUUUUUAUUUAUAUACCAUAUUAAAAAAAAUGAUAGAUUCAUCUGAGAAAAUAAAAAGAAUAAUUUAGCUACCAACAACAAGAAUUUACUCUAGGGUGCUUGUUUUUUAAGAGAGGACCCAUAAGGAUAUUAAAGUGUAAAUAAUUAAAAUAUCAAUAAAAGUGGCAAAGUAUUUACUCUAGGGUCCUUGUUUUUUAAGGUAAUCAGUGGUAUUAUUAUUCUUGAAAAAAAAUAAAAAAAUAAAAACCUGGUAUUAUUAAAUGUAUAUUAUUGAAAAGAAAAAUAAAAACUUUUAUCAAUAAUGAGAAAAUUAUCUACCAAUGUAUGAGGAGUGGCACUCACCAACCCCAAUUCCUACCUACUCAUCCAUAGAAUUGGUAUUAUUGUUACUCUUAUCAUGCCCAAUCAUCCAUGCAAAAUUAUUACUUUUACACAUGCAUAAAUGCAAGAUUUUAUAAUUUAAAAAAAUGUUGAUCACUCAAUAUUUUUUUAUUAAUCAAAAGGCUCAAUUGAUCGAAUAACAUAAUGAUUAAGGGAUAAUUUUUCCAUUGACUUAUCGAAUUAUUAAAAACUAGUGCGAUCGGAAAAAUUCAAACUUAACAAUCAUAUUUUUUAUAUUAGUAAAAAGAUCAACCAAAUAAUAUAUGGUUAGCCUAAAGAGGUUUUUUUUUUUUUUUUUUUUUUUGCCCCUUUUAAAGAUAUUGGGCAGAAAAUAAUAAUCAGCGGAGAUUAUAGCAUUAUUUCAUGUAAUUAAUUAAUAUAGUAUAUAAAUAAAUAAAUAAAUAUUAAUUAAAUGUUUAUAAUAAUAUUUACUAGUUAUUUAUUGUUUUUAGAUAAUUAUAUAUGAUAAUGAUAACAUAAAAAUAGUAAUUGGAAAAUAAAAUUAUUAAUGAUUUAUUAUUGAGGUGAAUAUAGCCCUGGGGAAUUGAUUAAAAAAAAAAAGGAGUUGAAAAAGUAGUUAAUGAAGAUUUAACACAUAUAAAUUAAACGUAGAAUAAAUUUGCAUGAAACAAAUAAGCUAAAUAUCCCUCUAAUAAGGAAUUGAUAGCUGAUAAAGCUUACAUAAGUUUCAAUUUACUAUUGAUCUCAUCAACUGAAUUUAGGGCUUUUUCUUAUCAAUGUAUUAUAUUUUGACUAUAUUAAUUUUAUAAAAAAAUAUAUUAAUAAAUUAUUUUUUGAAAUUAAUAUUUUAGGAUAAUCUUAUUUAUAAAAAUUUUAAAUUAAAAUAAAUAAGUAGAAAAUAUUACUACACAAAAAUUAAAUAAUUAUUUUUAUUUAUAAACUAUCAUAAACAACUAUCAUAAACAAUUAAAUAAUUAAAUAAUGAUUACUAUUAUCAACUAUCAUAAACAACUAAAUCAACCAUUUUAUUUUUCAAAUAAUCGAUUUUUAAAUAAAAACAUGAAUAUGUAUAGUUGUGAGAUCUAUUUAGAUUCAAAUGAGUUUAAAAUUUAAAAAAAAAAAUUCAAAUGAUGAAUUAGCCUAAAUUAAAAUUUUUUUAAUGCAUUUAGAGCAAUAAAAAAUUAUAGAGUAUAUAUAUAUAUAUAUAUAUAUAUAUAUAUAUAUACAUGCGCACGCGCAUAAUUUUGAAAAGAGGCAUGACCAAAUCCAUCUAGGUGGCCUUAAUAUUUUUUUUCUAUUCAAUUAUAAGAAUAUCUCUCAAUUUUUAUAUUUAUCCUACACAUAUCUUAUCCUACACGAAAAAAAAAACGAGGAUAAUGUAAGAUAUGAAUUAUAAGAAUGUCACUCAACUUUUAUAUUGACCCAACACAUAUCUUGGUUCAUGUGGAGGGAAAAAAAAGAUAAUAUAAGAUAAGUAAAGAAUUAUUAGAAUCUAAUAGGGUCUUUUCUGAUAUUAAAAUAAAUAAAAAAACUUUGUGGGACGCUCCUAUAUUAAAGUGAAUUAUUAUUGGAAAUUCAAGAGAAAUUUAAUUAUUUGCACUGAUGGCUUUGAUUUUUUUUUUUUUCUUAACAAAAUUAACAAUUCUAUUCCAUGUAAUUCAACAAUACAUAUGAAAAAUACUUGUAAUGUUAAUAAUUGUACAUUAAAAUCAGUUGCACAUUGUUAAGCUUUAACUCAUAUUAUAAUUAUUGAAAUUAUUGAGAGAGAGAAAAUAGGAAAAAAAAGAUUGAUUAAUUUAUAUUAUAAAAUAAAAAUACUAUGAACUUUGCAUAUGGUUGGAAUUGCAUUUUAUUUUAAAUUUUAACUAUAAGGUGCAAUUAAUUAUUUUAGAGUAUAAUAACAUUUUGAAUUUUACGUAUUGUUGCAAUUACACCUUAUUUUUUCCCUAAAUUUUAAUUACAAAGCGUCAGUAAUUUCAAAAUGCUGUUACAUGAUAAUUGUUAAAAGGGUUAAAUAUUUUCGGUUCCCUAAAUUAUGGCCAAAAUAACACCUAGGAUCCUCAACGUUUGAGUAAUUAUCUUGAAUGACCUAAAUAAUGUUGUCGUUAUACUACGAGGCCCUGCCAUCCAAAUUCUUACCUUUUUCCAUUUACAUGGAUUGAAAAGCAAACAUUAAGUGGGGAGUUAAAUGUUUUGGGGUCCCUAAAUUAUGACCAAAUCAACACUUAAGUCCCUCUACGUUCGAGUAAUUAUUCGUUUUUCAGUUCAUAUAAACGCAAAAAAAGUAGAAAUUUAGAUGGAAAUUCCAUUCGACGUGCCUAUCUAAGAUUUUUCCUCUUUGUGCUUUUUCUCAUAUUUGCGGAUGCGCUUUACACCCUUUGUAGCUAAGAAUUUUUCGUAUUUUGUAAUAAACAAGAAAUAACAAAAAAAAAAAAAAAAAAUGAGUUGAGAAAUUUUCUUUUUACAAAAAUGCCCUUAUAUUGCUAAAGGUUUCUUUGACAUUGUGUGGCUAUAUAUAGCAGGCACUUCACCAUUAAAAAACCAAACAUUUCUUCUCCCCUUUACAACUAAAGAGAACCAUGAAGAGCUUCUCUAUUUUCUUUGUUCUUCUCCCUCUUCUCUUGGUGAGUGAACCAUUUCUUCAUACAUUAUUCUACUUAGCACCAACCCUAAAAUUCGAUUGAAAUUAAUGGCAAAGCUAUAUGUUGCAGUCUUUUUUUUUUUUUUUUUUUUUUAUUAAAGAAAUUAAUGCAGAUAUUAUUUUUUAUUAAUUAAAUGGCUAGCUUUGUUCCUAAUAUUAUUUAUACUUUCAGCGGAACUACAUAUAAUUUUUAGUGUGACAUUUUUUUCUCUCUAAUUUUUUCGUCUUAUUUCAAGAACAUGCUUUUUUUGAUUCUUUUAGUAGUUUGGCAAUAUAUAUGGACUCAAGCUCUAAUCUUUGUUCUUUUUUUCUUUAAUAGUUUGGUAUUACUGUGGACGCGAGGAAAGAACUACUAAAAGAUCAACAUCUCAACGAUGAUAAAACUUCUAUCGAGGAAAAUGGGCCAAAAUCUAUUUUAAACCAUCUCAACGAUGAGAAGUUCGAUCCCAAACGUCCCGAGUUGUUUGGUUAUCAUUACGACGACGAUGAUAAAAAAGACAAGGCAUCAUCAUUUGAGAAGUUCGAUUCCAAACGUCCUGAGUUUUUUGGUUAUCAUUACGACGACAAUGAUAAAAAAGACAAGUCAACGUCAUUUGAGAAGUUCGAUCCUAAACGUCCUGAGUUCCUUCACUAUGGUUACAACGAUGAUGAUAACACUGACAAAUUAUCAUCUGUUCAAAAUUUUGAGCGUUGGGUUCCUCUUCCAUCAUUUCAUUAUACUUACAGCGACGAUGAUAACACAGAGAAAUCAUCGUCAUUUGAGAAAUUUGAUCCCAAACAUAAGAACUUGCUUCACUAUCACUACAACGACAACAAAGAAAAAUCAUCACCGCUCGAGCAUAAUAAGCCGUCGUCUCUCUCUGAUGAGAUCUCAGGUGGCAACAAUGAUCAUAAGGAGACCAUGUAAAUUAGGCCUCCAGAGGAGCAUAUGGGUUUUAAUGAAAUUGUAUAAUGUUCUAUGUAUUUAAACGUUAUGUCCUCUAUGUAUGGGAGUGCUUACUUAUUAAAGAAAAAUAAAAAUGGCGUCGCCAUAUAUGAUAAUUGAAUAAAAGUAACACUUCAUUUCCUUCCUCUUUUCUCAAGCAAUUUAGUUUUCUUUAUCUAUUGUCUUUGUUCGUAGCUAAACACACAAGGUUGCCAAUUUAGUCGGAUUAUGAUAAAAUAUAUGUAUUAUUAUUUGAUGAGAAAUUUUUACUUAAUAUUUAAUAUUUAAUUUUAUAUAUAUAUAUAUAUAUAUAUAUAUAUGGUUUGAGAAUAUUAACUUAAAAUUUUGUUUUCAAGAAAAAUAUAUUUAACUUUAAAAUAAUAGUUAACGAUAUAUGUAAAGGAGAACAUCAAAAUCCUAGCAACUUUCUCUCUUUUUUUUUUUUUUUUUUCCAUUGCAAUCGUUUUCUUCUUUCUCCAUCAAAAGCCAAGAAUCAAGCAUGUAGGUUUAUAUAUAUAUAUAUAUAAACCUGUAACUUACAUUAUUUUAAUGACAUUGUAGAUUUAUACAUUGAAUAGUAUUACUGAUUUAUUUAGUAGAAUCAAUAGUGUAAUUUUCCUUUGAAUUCUAGAAUAUAAAUAUAUUUUUCUUUUUCCUAGUAAGUGCAUUCUUGUGCUUAUAAUUUUUUUUAGCAUUAAAUAUUUUGUUUUUUAAAAGCCUAUAAAUCCUGAUAUCGAAAAAGGUAAUUUUUCGUGUUAAUAUCAUAUUUUUUAAUGAAAAAUCCUUAACAUUUAUCAAAUCUCAUGUAAUUAUUGUCUUUUGGUUUGUGGUUGUGGUUUAUAUGUAAUUUCUUACCUACUUUGGAUAUGUUCGGGCAAAAUUUGUUUUUUUGAUAGCUAUUUAUUGUUUGAAUAAUAAUUAAUGGUCAGUUGUUUUAGUAGUUUUUCAUAAAAUGAUAAAAGUUAAACGUUACAUGAGUUAACUUUUUAUAGACUGCUGGUUUAACCUUUAUAAGCUAGUUUAAAAGUUAUAUUAUCGAGCACUAUAAAAAAUACGUUUAGCACCUUAACCAGUCAAAAUAGUAAACACUACUUAAAAAAUUGUUACCUAACACAAUCUUUGUUUGUGGUUUUUUUGCAAGUUGUUGCUAAGCCUCAACUUCUUGUUAUUGAAUUAAGAAUUUAUGUCCAAGAGUUUAUUAGAAACAUGUAGGACAUAAGAAUAUAAUAUUACUUUAAAUUUUCACUAUUUUGAUUUUUUGUAACCUGUUUCAAAGUACUAAUUAUAUAUAUGAUGACUGUUUAAAUAAAAUUUUAUCUAAAUUUCAUGAUUAAUAGAGUAAUUAACUGUUCCAAUCAGGUAUGAUUUUAUUAGUCUUUUUCACUUAUAUGAGGAGUGAGAGAUCUCAAGUUCGAGUCCUCUUGAUCACAGAGUUUUCAUCAAUUUAGCGAGUCAAAGAGAAUUUUACCCAUAUUGUAUAGUGCAUAUUAUUAUUGAAGCCGUUUCAGCCUCCUAACGGAUCAAAAAGAAAUCCACUAUAACUAACAAAAACUGCAAAUAAUUGCUUAUACCCAUUUCAACUACUCAUUCAACUACACAUUUACCAACUAUCAGAAUCUCAUGGUGGGUAGCUUAUUAUUGAUAACCAAAUAACUAUAUAUAUCCAUCUAUCAACUGCCACUGUCAAUCAUCACAAUAACUAAACCAAAAUGAUUUCUAAAUGAUUAUCCGUGGUGUGUCUCCCCAAAUGAUUAUCCAUGGUGUGUCUCCCCGAAGAGAAGAAAAGGAAAAGGCAAACACUGUUUCACACCUAUGAGAGGAUGGAGGAAGGGUGUGAGGAGUGUCUCAAUUUCCCUUAAUCAUAAUUUUCUUUUAUAUUUAUCUUCUAAAAUAUUGAAAAUUUUCAAUUUUGCUCCCCAAAUUUUGAUUUUUUUUUUCGUACUAGCUCCAUCAUUACACAAUGUAAAUUCUAAUUAUACUUUAUAUUUGGAUAGACUAUAUUUUUCACCUUAAAUUUUCAAAUUGUUCCAAUUUCACUCUAAAAUGACUUUUAUUUUCUAUUUGAAUUUUGCAUAUGUUAUUUAAUUAUACCCAUAAUUUUAAAAUUGGACUUAAUUGAAAAAGACUAAAGAAAAAAUGUGAUAUCCAUAUAUUUUCUGUGGGUUAAGGUAAUCCAAUAUUGUUUAACUAGCAAAAAAUACAUUACUUUGUACAAGGAUAAGACUUGCUUAUACCUAAUGCAUGAGUGGUUCCGUACACCAAGCCAAUCAAAAAAGAUUUUUUAAAAAAACUGUUACUAUUCUAUCCUUUUUGUUUGUAUGAUCAAAAAUACAUUCGUUUGAAAUAAAUCACUUUUUUGUGAUUAGUUUGUGAUUAGGUGAGUCUUUCCUUUGUAUAAAGGGAAAAAAAAAAUAAAAAAAAAAAGACAAAACCAACUACAAAAUCAUUCAGGUUCUGUGGUAUGCUCCUAUAUUAAAGUGAAUUAUUAUGAUCAACUAGAUGAGAAGUCUCAAGUUUUAAUCCACUCGAUAAUAAAAACUACUCUGGUUAUAUAGCCCAUUAAAUUAUUUUGGCUCGUCUAAUUAUUUCGUUAUGGUUACAAUUUGAAAACUUCGGAGGCAAGACCAAAUCCAUCUAAGUGGCCCUAAUUUCUUUCUUUCCUAUUCAAUUAUAAGAAUGUCUUUCAACUUUUAUAUUCACCCUACAAUAUCUUCUUCCCGUACGAGGACAAAGAACAUAAGGAUAGUGUGAAAUACGUUGAAUUUUUAGAAUCUAAUGGGGUCUUCCCUAAAAAAAAUGAUUUUAGAUUCCAUGGCACGCUGAGUGAAUUAUUAUUGGAAACAUGAAGUUUUCAAGAUUCCGUGGCUUUGUUUUGCUAUUUUUUUUUAAAUAAAUUGGAAUGUUAAUUUACUUUUACAUGAAAGAAUAAAAACAAAAUGACUGAAUAUAAAUUAACAAAGAGAGUAAAAGCCUUAACACCUAUAAAAUAAUAAUUGAGGAAAAUUAAUAAAAUUUAGUAAAAAACCGAUCAUAAUUGAAAUUUUAAUAUUUUAAUUGUGUUCAGCAACAGUUUUUUGAGUAGUUUUUAAUAUUUUGACUGGUUAUAACGCUAAAUACUUUUUUUAUAGUGUUUAGUACAUGUUAAGGUAGUGUUUUAUAAAAAGUCAACUAAUAUAUCUGUUUAGCUUUUAGCUUUUCAUAAAAGCUACUCGAACAGUUAACAAGUAAAUGCUACUAAAAUAACUAAGAACUAUAAAAACAGCUUUUGGCUUUUUUCAUUUAAAUUAUGCAGUCUACUCAGCUUUCCGGUGACUCAAUAGCCGGAAAAUUGAUCAUAGGGAUUUUUCUGUUACUCUUAUGAUAUUUGAGGGAUUUAAGUGAUAAAUUGAAGUUGAUCAUAGGGAUUUUUCUGUUACUCUUAUGAUAUUCGAGGGAUUUAAGUGAUAAAUUGAAGUUUUAGAUAGGGUAAAGUGAUAAGACUAUAACUUGAAGGACACCUGGUGAAAAUAAGCCUUAAUUUAUGCUAAGACAAAACUACCCUUACUUAAAAAACAAAUACAUUUCGUUUUCGAUUUCUCCAUCUCCACUGCUGCCAUUGUCAUUCCGGCGAUUACCUCUGCCUCCGAUUGUAACAGUCUUCGAUGAUCCCUACUCCACCCGCGAAAUAUCAAUCCUAAGUUCUUUCAAGCUCAAACUAAGAGUUUGAUUCAAUCAAAUGUAAGCUUUCUCUAUCAAUACAUUUCUUUGGCUAGUGAGGAAGUAUGAGAAACUGAACCAAUUAAAUCUAGUUGAGCCCCCAAUUUUUCAAUUUAUUGAGAAAAUAUGUAGUUCGUCUCUAUCAGUUCUUAAUUUGGUGAAUCGAAUGGUCAAUAAUUAGUUAGAGAUUUAAAAUAUACAUCAAAAUUAGGUUUCUAGAUUUUCUUUUUCCUAAUUUAUCAUUAUCAGUUCUUGCGCAAUCAAAUUAUCUCUUCCUGUUAUUUGGGAUUUACUGUCUAUGGUGAUGAAAAGCGAUGGUUAUUGCAUUUAUUUGUUCUACACAUUACAUGAUCACAAGUUACCGGUUUCAAUAGCUGAAAUGAGGCUGCUUGAUUUUGCUUUCCAUUUUUUUUUAACUUUAUUUUUAUUUGUCAAGCUUAAAUUGGUGUAUAUUGGCUUCUAUUUGUUGGUGUAAUGUUCAACAAUUUAAUUAUUUAAUUGUCAAUAUUCUUUUGUUUGUCUUGAAGCAAAUUUAUUAAUUGCAUGUGCUUAUACUAUGGAUUAUAUCAAAUUAUACACAAUAAUUUUCUACUUAUUUUAGAAAAGGACAAAAAUAUCCAGAAGUCGAAGAAAUAUUCCUAUUUGCCAUAAAAAUUGCAGAGUUUUUGUUUAUGAAACUACUCUCACUUGUGUGGGUAAUGUUACAUUGGCAUUUGAUUUAUAGCAUUAAGAUUAACUCUGUUUAUUCAUUUAUUUUUUAUCAUUGCCACAGGAUGUUAUAAUGGGAAUCAGUAAAACAGAGAUAAACUUAAGGAGGUUGCUUGCAGCUGCACCUCGGCAACAAAAUCAAGCAAAACUUAUACAUGUAUGUCCAUUGAUUGCAUUCGGAAAUUAUUUUUUCAUAAUCCCUUUUUUUUUUUUAAUUUUUUGAUGCUUUAUUUUGCGUUGUUUAUGGUUUUGUAUAAUCUGAUUUCUGUAAUGGCAUUAGCGCAUUUAAUAAACUAAUUGUUUCUUUUGUUACCUAUGGAUUUAAUAUUGGAACUUUAUAGUAUGUUGCUACUUUACGAGAACAAUUGGAACAACUGGCUGAAGAGAGAACUCUAGAUGGCUUACCUAGGUAUGCGUGCUUUCUUUUAUAUCUUCUCUUAAAUUUGUUUUGAAUUGUAAUUGAACUUUGAAAAACUUUAAUCAAAUUUUCAUGGAUAACCAAUAUUGGAACUUUUUGUAAAUGUCCUUUUCAAGGAAAAUUGACUUGUUAAUAAUACAUCUAAGUUCUUUGAUUGUGAGCCAGAUUUCUCUUCCCCUUUGCAUUUGAGUUGGCCUUUUCUGUUCGGUAGCCAUUAUCAAUCCAAUAAAUCAAAUGUCGCUGGAGUUGUAUUUAUGUAACAAUCUCUAAGAUUUAAAUGCAGUGCUACUUUAACUUCUCUUUGAAUACAUUUCAACAGAGUUUCAAAGGCUAAGGUCAAUGAUUAUUCAGAAAAGAUUGAAGCCAUUGCUUCCAGAUUAGCUGCCCCAUUGGUGCGUUGCAUUGGAUACUUUUAAAUUAUUAAUGUGAUUGUGAACUUUAGCAACACUUCUAAAAUUAGUUGCACUAGCAGAUAUUUGAACAUAGUUAGAAGAGUAAGUUUUCUUCUUUUCAAUUCCUCCCUCAAGGGACUAAAAACUGUUGAAAUACCAUUGCCAUUAUAAUGUGGUAGAGCUUCAAUAAUUGUGAUGUAAACAGACUGAAGAUACGGGGUUAUGUUUCUGUGGAAGAAAACAUAAGAGCAAAUCUUGACCGAUUUCACUUUUGUUGAAAAGACUGUACAUAGGAUUUUGAUAUUACUGUCCACAAAUUAAUUCUUUUUUUUUUUAAUUAUCUCUUGAAUGAACUGUUCUUCUUCCCUCUCAGCUAAUAUGUUGACUUCAUGGAUUGCAAUACAUUCUCCUUGAUUUAAUUGCUUUUGUUGCCUGUUCUACUUCUUCUAACUGUUCCCCCCUUUGGUUACAGUGACUAAGCGUACUGAUUACAACUUAAAAGCAUACUAUAUGUUGUUUGUGUCAUCUAACCAUGCAUGCAAUUUAUGAUGUUGUCUCAAUUUGUUUGUCUUAUUAAUUGUCAGUAUUGGCAGUGGUUGAUGUUGUAACAUCUAACCACUUUUUAUGCGUCUAAUUCUCAGCGUCAGAUUCGGGUAUCCGAAGAGCCUUUUGCUGAGAGUUCAAUGAGCGAAAGUACUAGAGCAGAUGGAGAAACUCAGUUCCCUUCUUCUCCUGGCUUGAGAAGAAGCUUUGUGUAAUGAAUCUCUAGUUUUUAGGAUUUAUGUGAUUCAUGCAAUUUCCCUUUUGUUGUUCAUUUUCUUUUUCCUCCUUCUGUUUCUAUAUUUGUUUCAUUAUGAUUUUUGUUGUUCUUUGAACAGGGCAGCCCCAAAUUUUGAUGAUAGAACUCAUGAAAUCACUCAGGUUGAUACAUCAGCCCCUGUCAAACUGGAUGCUGCAGCAAAAACACACAUUGAAAAGCACAGGUACUUUUACUGUUUGAUUGGGGUACACCUAAUCAUGAUGUGAUAAUUGCAAAGAUUACAUAGUAAUCAACUCUUAGAUCUGUAAUCUAAGUUUUUCAAGUAAAAAUGUUGCAUUUAAUUCUAUAUAAAACCCAGUGGAGUUCCACAUAAACUCAUACAGCCAUUGUUUGCUAAAGAUGCAUUGACUACAGACCAAGGAUGGUCCUCUUGAGGGCAUUGGGUGAUUAUUCAUGAUUCUAUUUGUAGAGGUGUGCAUCAGUGGAUUCGGUUUGACCGAAUUAACCAGUAAUCAAAAUAGGGGAAACUAAACCAAAUUGAAUUACAUAUAUGAAUCAAACAUUUUGGUUCAGUUUGGUUGGCUCCAUACUGAAUCCUUUUGUUCUUGUGUGUGUGUGUGUUGUUUGGUUUUUUCGGUUAACAUGAUCAUCUGAUGACCGAAACAUGGUUAACAUGGUCAUCUGAUGACUGAAACAUGGUUAACAUGGUUGGCUCCAUACCAUGGUCAUCUGAUGGCCGAACCAAAUAAGAGGCCCAAAUCUUUGCUAAUCGAACCAAACCACAUAUUGUGGUUUGGUUAGUUGGUUAUUACCAACUAAUGCACACCCUUACUCCCCUAGCUAUUUUGGCAUUUCAAUGGCAUGAUGUGUACAGCAUAAGCAAGAUAGUAGUGGAAUUUUGGUGUAACAUGGUGCCCUGCUUGGCAUCAGCCUAGUAUUGUUCAGAGAGAGGGAGAGAACAAGUAUUUGAGCAAGAGGGGAACUCGGAUUGGAGUGGAAGGUAAGGCAGACACCAAAUUGAUCUUUAAUAUUUAUUAUGUUUCUUUCCCUACCGAGACGAAAGCCAAAGGUGAGUCUCGUAGGUGGACGUAUUGAACCGAAAAAAGAUCUCACUCCCCUGUCUCAACUCGCUUUCCAGGGAUAAGGUGAAAAUGAAAGGUUCAUUGCAAAUUGGAGUUUAUUGCAACAGGAUUUACAUAAAUAACAAUGCUUCAAUACAUUUAAAGUUUCUUAGUCCUCCUUCUUGACUGUUGCUUAUAGUACUAUAUUUAUAACGGUACAAUGUAGUUUCCUGAAAGUAAUAUGAAAAUUUUCAUGAUAUAGGCAGAGAUAUUCAAAAACAUAAUUUGUUCUACAUAUUUUCUUGCUCCAAGUUCCAAAGAUUGAAUCUAGGACUACCUAGUUGCUUCAAAGAUCAUCAACUUCUGAUUAAACUUUUGUAUCCUAUUGCAGAAAGCUUCAAGAAGACCUGACAGAUGAAAUGGUUGGGUUGGCACAACAACUAAAAGAGAGUAGUCUCUUGAUGAGCCAGUCCUUGCAAAAUACUGAAAAGGUAAUGAUUUUUGGAACCAAAUGGAUUACCUUCUGAAGAGAUGUGCAAUUGUAGCUUUGGUGAGUGAUUCUGCAUGUUCUGGGGAGGCAGCAUUAGAUGAUCGCGUAAUCCAUUAUUCUUUCUGUACAAGAUUAGCUAAUGAGUAUCUCUAACAUGGUAAUGAUUUAGAAACUACUAGGAUUGUGAAGAAGUGGCAUUUUCCUUUUGCCAUUAAUGGAUUGAUGUGAAGUGUCUGAAUUCUAUCUUAAAAUUGCUCAGAUUUGUAAAUGCUGUGAAGGAGAGGUUGGGAGUGGCAAUCAGAGAGAUAUCUAUGGCAGCAUUUUUCUGAAUUUAAUCCGUGGGAAUUGGUGUUCUAUUGAGGUCUUGUAUUUUGACAUACUAAUUACUCUCUUAAGCGAUGAAAGUUGCUAGGAUAUGAAAUUCUUCUUGACUAGUGAUGAAUUGAAGAACAACUACUGAACCAUUUCUGUACUCAUGCAGUAAUCGAUAAGCUGCUAAUCGUGUUAAUUGACUUGGAAUGGGCCCUUAAGGAAUUAACUAGUACAGAUCUAUAAAAUUGUAAAAGCCAUAAGAGGACAGGCUUUUGUAAGAAAAAUCUACCCUGUAAUUUUUUUUUCCCUACCAAUGAUUGGAUGGUGGACUCACCGACAAAUGAGGUAAGGGAAAUUGAGAAGCAACUUUCUACUUCAACCUUUUUUCUUCUUGAUAUGGUAAACAACUUGCCUUGAGCUCAUAAUUUGUUUGUAUUUUUCAAUUUUCUUUGAAAUAAUGGCAGUAGCAACUAAAACUUCUAGUUGAUGAGUGUAUGCAUCAUGAAUUUUUACAUUACCACUUAUCAUGUGGAAAUUCAGAUUUCUGUUCAUUUACGUGUUAUAGAUACUUGAAUUUAAUACUUUUCAAAAUGUGAUUGCAAAGAUCAUGUAUAUCGAUCUGGGACUAUUUUUUAAACUGAUGCUUUUCUUGUACAUGUCAGAAAGUUUUUGCACUCAAUGGCUGUAAAAAGAGAUACAUAAAUCUAUUAGAUGAAGCUAAAACAACAUAUAUGCAAGUUUUUAUUUCUAGUCUCAAAACCUAAAUGUUUGUUUUGGUGCAGAUACUCGAUUCUACAGAGAACGCUAUUGAGCAAAGCUUGGCAGGCACUGGCCGUGCCAAUGUCCGAGCCUUGGAGAUAUACUCGAAAAGUUCUAAAACUACAUGCUUCACUUGGCUUCUGAUUUUUCUAAUGACAUGUGUCUUCAUCAUGGUUGUACUCCUAAUUCGCGUCACUUAGAAGUUUCUUCAAGGUAAGCAAGUUUCUACAUGGUAAUGCUACUGUCUUGCAAUGCGAGUCUAGUGUUUAACCAUUUGUUCAAAAUCAACUCGUUUUUUAUGAAAGGGGUGCCUAAUGAUUUAAUUUUUUCUACCAGAUAUCAUUUUGUGACGAUACGGAGAUUAAUGACAAAUAAUAUGCAAUAUUUUCUUAUUCGUGUUGUUUGAGGUUGUUUUGGGAUUCAUAUUUUAAUCGACGGACAACUAAUUCUAAAGUAAGUUUAACACUCAUAUUAUGAUUGUAUUUUUUUUUCUUUUUUCUUUUUUAAUAUAAUGUCUUUUACUUGAGAAGAUGAUAGGUUUUUAUAUUUCUUCUGUUUGGGUGAAAAAUGGAUAAAUAAACUAUUAAUACUGAAAUAGAUAGUCUAAUAAUGUGGAUUUGAUGAUAACCGAAUUAUUAAGUAUAAGUUCUAUUAUUUCAUGUGGAACUUUUGGGUUAUAAUUUAUAAAAUCUCUCUGUAUCCAUAUGACACACAUUAUUGGAUAAAUUGAAUAUUUUUCAUAAAAAUUUAGGCAGAAUUUUUCCCCUUUUCUUUUUAAUAAAACAAAUUAUAUUUUGAAAACUCAAGUGUUAUUUAUAGUUCUAUAAUUUGAUGCAGUGAAUAUUUUAACUGCAAAUUGAUAUGGACGACAGCGGUUUCGGUUCCAAAUAACGUGAACAGUUACCGUUUUGGCUGCUGUUCUAAAAUCGACGGUUCCAUACAGUUUUUCAGACCUACCUUCAAAUCAAGAUUUAAUUUUCAAAAUUUCAAAUUCAAAAUCAACAUCAACUUUGCCCCCAUCAAUUUCCAAAACGGCUGUUGUUUAAAAUUCAAAUUGUUAAAGACUUCACACACUAGCCCCUUCCAUUCCUACUAUGAGAAUGGAUAUUCUUGAUUUCAGAAUUACUAAGGAACAGUAGAAAAAUAUCAAAUAUUUAAAAGGGAUAAACAUAAGAUAUUGAGAUUCAAAAUCCAAAAUAUAUGUGACAGAUAUAAAAAAGAAAAGCAAGUGUAUAGUUGUAAUAUAUAUGUCUUUUCAUAUUAGUUAGUAAUUUUUUUAAAAUCCAUUAGUUAAUAGUUUAUUUGCACAUUAACACAUGAUCUAGGGUUAAAUUCACGUAUGGUUUGAUAAUAAAUUUAAAUUUAAAUUUAAAUUUCCCUCUUUGAAUAUUUAAAAAGAGUUGAAUUUUUUAACAAAGGAAUGAUUAAUUAAUAAAUUUAAUUUGUUUUCAAAAAGAAAAGUUGAUAAGGAAAAUAACAUGAUUAGAUUGUUUUAGAAAAUUUUUUAUUUAAAUUAACUGUAAAGUAUGUUUUUAUUAAUUUAAAAAUACCUUUUAUUCUAUAUCAAACAUAAUAUAUAAAUUUAUUGUUAAAUUUUAUAAUUUUAUAGUCCCUACAUUCUACAAAAAUAGAUUUAUUUAUAUUUCUACACACUUUAAGAAAAAAAGCAAUAAUAUUAUUGACAUAACAAAUUUUAUUUGUAUUAUUUUAAUAUAUGUCAAUAUUAAUAUUAGAUGUGACUUUCAAUAAUUUUAUAAAUUAAAAAAGCAAAAAUGGAAAAUAAAACUUUUUUGGUGCAUCAAACAAACAAUCUCUUAAUAAUAAUUCAAAUAAUAUGGGACUGAAUUUAUUUACAUAGAUUCUCAGAUUAUAUAUUUUGUUUUAAAGUUUAUUUCAAUAGAUAACUCGAGUUUAAUUUAGUUAUUUCUGAUUCUAAAACACUCAUAGAAUCUAAACUUUAUAUUGUUGUGGAGUGAAUUAAGAGUCAAGAUAAUGUAAGUACCCAUUGCCCUGUUAGAGCUUCUUACCGUCAUGCUCGUAUCCAAAUUUAUCCAUUAAUGUUUAUGAGGUUAUUUUUCAUCCAGCUAAUGAAAUCUCAUUAUUCUCUUUUAGAAAAAAUAAUAAUAGAAAAAAUAAUAAUUUAAAUAAUAAUAAAAGAACAAAAUAAUUUCAGAAGGCCAUCUAUAGUACUCUUUGGCCUUUGAUGCCACCGAGAUGCUCACAGCGCUGUCAUUCCAGAAGUUUCUCUUCAUUUCAUUAUUGUUUUUUAAAAUAAAAGCCCAAUUUCCUUUUUAUUUUUUUUAAGUUAUAAUAGACAAAUUACAGGUCAGUAACAGCUUUCCACGACGAAGCAGACUACAAACUAGAAAAGACUGACCUUCUCAGGAAACAAAAAAUUAAACAACACAACUCAUCUCGUCUCGUCUCGUCUGGUCUAUUCUCGUCUCCUAUUCCCAGUAGAAUACACCUUAGUACCUGCAAAACUUAAACCUAAAUCACUUUCUUUUUUCCCUUUCUAUUGUUAUUCAAUUUCCAAUAUUCAAACCCUAACAGAUCGGUUCUUCAUCGUCCGUACUCCGAAUUAAUCAAUCAUGCCUUCCCGUCGAAGAACUCUCUUGAAGGUCAUAAUCCUCGGCGAUAGCGGGUCAGUCACCUGUACUUACAUGGUUAAUUCACCGCUUAUUUUGCAAAGUUCUAGGGUUUUGUUUUUAGGUUAAGCUGAUCUUUCGAGAUCUUAUUGCUUUUGUUACUUGCUCAAGUUCAACUAUGUCAAUUAUGAUCUGAUUGAGGAGUUUUUGCUUAGGUAAUUGAAUUGUUGAUUAGGAGUUGGUGUAUCUAUUUUGGUUUUAGGGUAAAAUUGAGUGUAUAAUUUUGUUUAUGUUAAUUGAAAAUAUACAUUUGAAGUGAUUAAGGAUGUUGUUGUCGAUAAAUUGUUGUUAAUGGUGGUUUUUGGGAUUGUUUGUUGAUGUUUAAGAUAAUGAAUUUGCAUUUGUUUUUUAUUUACAGGGUCGGGAAGACCUCUUUGAUGAAUCAGUAUCCUUCUGUUAUUGGCUUUUUGAUUAGUGAUUUCUAUUCCUUCUCUUGAAGGGGAAAUAAAUGCAUUCUCGUAAAUCUAGGAAGUGGUGCCUUUUCUACUUUUGUUUUCUUGACUUAAUUGCUUUUAGAUAUGUGAAUAAGAAGUUUAGCAAUCAAUAUAAGGCAACAAUCGGAGCUGAUUUCUUGACUAAGGAAGUGCAGUUUGAAGAUAGGCUCUUCACUUUACAGGUUUGUAGUAGUACAUGGCCUAUUAUAUGAAAUCGUGAUGUAACUUAAAGUUUGCUUAUGCACUACCGUGCAUUCACUUUCUGUGGUUUCUUCCUUUUGGGUUGGUUUGGAGUAUAUAUUUUAGGAAUAAGGUAAUGUCUUUUAGCUGUUGACUUUCCAUUUUUCAUCUUUUUUUUUUCUAUAUAAUAUUUCUUAUGCAAUCGGUAUAGUGAGGGUGGGAGAGGGCAGGGCUAAAGCUCUAGUCUUUGCUUGCAGUCCACUACUGAUAUGUGUGAAUCGUCUUUCCUUGUUGCUGCUGAGUCAUAGAGGUAAUUGUUUGGACUAGAUGACAAUAUGCAGAAAUAAAUGAAGGUUCAGAAUGAAAAAGCUCAGUUGGUAGCCUAACUUACCUAUAUUUCCUUUUCGCCCAGGAGCAAUAAUGGUCAUGGCUUCUAUCUGGGGGCAGGGGGAUUUUGGAUUAGUGGAAAUCCAGUUGGUACUGACAAGCGACAACACUUAUUGCAGAUAGUUGGGUUGGGAAGGCCAUAAACUUUAGGGUUGCUAAAAGUAGAACUGUCUGGGACAAUCUUCAGGGCCAUAUUAUAAUUAAUUACAAUUAGCGCCACAAAAUCAGGGCUGUGUUUUAGGCUUGUGGUAAGUUGCAAAUUUGAGGUUUCCUUCCAUAAUGAAUCUAGGAAUGAAAUCCUCUAUGUGGUGACUGCGCACUAGAGGUCGGUCAAGAGGUAGUAGUAUUACCAUUGGUACUCUCCUAGUCUGCUGAUUGAUGGUUGCGUUCCCUUAUCAUUUGUGGGACAUCUUGUUCUAAGGUGGUCACUGCAUGAGUUUUGUAGGCUAAGGCAUUGUGUUCUGCUUGUCCCAAUUGCUCAACUAUCAUAUUUUUGGCACAAAUUAAUUCUGUGCUUUAUUGCUGGUAAUAUGUAUUUUUGUGGCUUGUUGAAUUCCUGAUUGAUUUUAUUAGUUAAUCUGCUAGUGUUUUACUUGUAUAUUUUGUAUUCUGUUGUUUUGGCAGAUCUGGGAUACUGCUGGCCAGGAAAGAUUCCAAAGUCUUGGCGUUGCUUUCUAUCGUGGUGCUGAUUGUUGUGUUCUUGUAUAUGAUGUUAAUUCAAUGAAAUCAUUUGACAAUCUCAAUAAUUGGAGAGAAGAAUUCCUCAUACAGGUAUUAUUUGAUUUAUCUGCAAAUUUACAGGGCAUUAUUGAACAGAAUACAUGAUUUUCUUAGUUGUUUUCUUCAUAAUUUUAUGCCUCUGCAAAUUUAUCUGUCUGUAGGCAAGCCCUUCUGAUCCAGAGAAUUUCCCAUUUGUUGUUCUUGGAAACAAGAUUGAUGUGGAUGGUGGAAAUAGUAGAGUGGUAUGCAUCUUCUUGAAUUUGUUGCGCUGUACACUUUUACAUGUGUUUCCAAUGUGCUUGUGCAUUUUGUUUAUGUGUUGAAAUCAAUACUUUUGCUUGUUAAUUUCAGGUUUCAGAAAAAAAGGCAAGAGCGUGGUGUGCCUCUAAAGGGAAUAUACCAUACUUUGAGACUUCAGCCAAAGAAGGCAUCAACGUUGAAGAAGCUUUCCAAUGCAUUGCAAAGAAUGCCCUGAAGAGUGGGGAAGAGGAGGAGAUGUAAGUUGCCAAACUGACCAUUUUUAUCUGCAUGGACUUAUUCUAUACUAUCUCAUGGGGAUUGCAAAUCAACAAGUCUUGCUAAUUUUCUGGCCUGAUAAAAUUUGAAUUACAUGUUAAAUUAAAAUACCUUUUAAGUAAUGUCAUACUGUUGCCCAAUAGUGUAAUGAUUUAAGAUUUGGAUUGGCUAGUGAGAAUAUUUGAAAAUUGAUUCAAUACGCAAGCAGACAAUGUGGCCAAUGUGGUUGACAUGCAAAUGCCGCCAAUAGAAUUGUUAUUUAUAUCUAAAUAACAUGCAUCCGAUUUAUGUUUGAAUAUUUUUAAAAUGACACUGACAUCACUUUUUCUGUUGUCCUUCUGGUGGCAAUUUUAUGGUGUGAAGAUACUUGCCAGAUACCAUUGAUGUUGGUAACAGCAGUCAGCCUAGGUCAACUGGAUGUGAGUGCUAAAACUGUGGCUUUUGAUUCUUGAGAUUCAAUAACCUAUCAAGUCUUAUAAAUGGUUUGGCCUCUUUCUAGCGAUUCUUAUUCGUAUGUAUGAGUUUAUACUGUACAUUAGCGUUUGUGGGAAACAAAUUGGUCAAUUGGUGCUGGUUUUGGUGCCUUUCUGUAAAACUGCUGUGAUUUGUUCAGGUUGUGGUUGAUUUGUUCUAGGCACUAUCCUGUUACUGUUAUUUAGUCUUGUUACUAUCACAAAAGUCAUUUCUUUUUUGUUUAAUGAUCAAUGUAUUUGAUUUGAGUUCCAUAAAUAGAAACAUUACAUAUCAAUGCUUUUUAGUUUGUUGAAAACAAUUAAAGUAAAUGCUUAAAGAUGUUUCAAAAGUUUUCUUUUUAAGGUGAUUUUAUUCUCCCCAAUAAUGGGAUAUACAAGGAAAACAUACUAAAAAGAUGCUCCAUCUAUAAGAUUUUUAAACCAUGGUAAUUAAAGAAGUAUUUAAUUUUAUUAAUUACUUCUUAAUUUAGGAUAUGUAGAAAUUUUGAUUUUAUAUAUUGCUGUUUUAGAAAUCACUUCUAAGGUUUGAGGAGAAUAGUGAAAGACGAAUUGAGUUAGGUUUGAUCAGCCAAAAGUGAAAUUGAAAAAAGAAACGAAGCUUUCAUUUUCAUGAAUAACCCCAUGCUUAUUGACCACAAAACAAAAGCCAUCCAAUAGAAAUAGGAACCACUCGUUCGGUUCAGUUUAAUUGAAUUAAAUUAGUGUAAAUCAGAAAUCAAACAAUUACAUCUUGAAUUCAUUCGAUUUGAUUUUUAAUUAAUUUUGAAUCAAUUUGAAUUUAUUUUUUUACAAAAUCAAAAGAUGAGCUUAAUCGAAACUUAUUCUACGCCUAGACACAAGAGGUUCUACAAGUGCAUGAACUCUCUCUCUCUCUCUCUUCCCCCUUGUUUAGGUAACUAUUAUCUUAUUCGAGGGUAUUGAAGCACCUAAUAUAAUUCGAAAUUACAUAAAAAAAAAUUUAUAUGUAUAUAAUAUUGAUUAAUUUUCUUAAAGCAACCCUAUCGCACUUUACAUUAUAUGAGACAUGCAAUUACAAAAUUUUAAAACCAAACGCCCAAGUUUUGAGUUGAAACUUGGAAUUUCGUAAAUUUAUUUAACAUUCAAUGUGGAAUAAUCAAUUCAAGUCUUCAAUUUAGGCCAAUAUGGAAGAAGAAAACCAUCAAUUGAAACUUUAUUUUUGUCUUAAAAAUAAAAUAAAGAUACUAUAUUAUUACUUUUUGUACAUUAUGCCAUUAAUCAACUAGUUAUUACAUAAAUUAAUGAUGAAGAACAAAAUGAUAACUAAAGAAAAUACUAUAUAUAAUUUUCUACCUAGCUAUAUAUACUUGUAAUAAUAAUCAAUUAAACCUUGAAUAUAAUUGUAAUAAUAUGAUCACAUCACCACCCAAUAGAAAAUAUUGUGUUUAUGUGCAAAACAGAAUUUUGUACCUAUUGGACCUAAAACUGAAUAGUUUUAGAAGGAGAAUAAUGACAAAACAUUCACAAGCUAAAAAUGGGUAAAAUUUGCUGAACAAAACAAACUAACUACUUAAAAUUCAAAAAUAGAUUAAAGUGACUAAGAGGCUAAGAGCUAGCCUAAGCAACUAAUUAACAAACAAUGUGUCAUCUAGUGAGAUUUACACUAAGUCUUAGGCUGCGUGGUUACAAAGGGUUCAACUUAAAAGUAGGAAAAACAGAAAACCUCACUGUCAAAGACAAGAAUUUCCUCCUUUCUAGGAGGGGUUUCUGUGAGGUGUACACGGUUUUCCCUUUCUUCUUGUAACUCUAUUACCAUGCAAGACCAUUUCUUUCCACAUUUUGAGAAUCCUUCCACCCUUCUCCCAUAGGUACUCUCUCUCUCUCUCUCUCUCUCUCUCACACACACACACACACACACACACACUCACACACAAGAACAAGAACACAUCUAUUAGUAAAAAUAUUUUAUGAGCUUAGAAGUAGUCAUGACCAUCAAAAUUUAACUUUUCAUUGGUUAUUGAUCUUAUUGUUCUUAGAUUGUUUAAUUUUAUGCAUGUUAUUAAUCCUUUAGUAGUUCUGAGUCUUUAAGAUUAUUCAUAUGUUGUUCUUCAAUUAGUAUUCAUUUUCUUUAAUGAAUAUUGUUUUAUUUUGCUAAAGCAUAUAUAUAUAUAUAUAUGUUUCUUAUUCUUAGGGAUUACAAGGGAGAUCAUUUGGAGGAGUGGUGGGGGUAGACCGUUGCCUUUGUAAGAAUAAUAUAUAGGUCGGAAGUUCUUCUUAUGGCUUCUGCCCCGUCACCGGACUCCUCACCUUCUCCUCCUCCUCCUCCUUCAUCAUCAGCAAAUUCGCCAUCUCCAUCAUCUUCACCUUCCCCACCUCCUCCACUAUCCUCACCACCACCACCACCAAAUAAGAAGUCAUCUCCACCCCCACCUUCAAAUAAAGCGCCACCCCCGCCAAAUAACUCAAAUGCUUCACCACCACCACCUCCUUCCUCUUCUAAGACAAAUACACCACCACCUCCUUCCUCUUCUAACACAAAUACACCACCACCGCCGCCAAAUAACAGUGACAAUAAUGAUAAAUUUUCACCCCCACCCUCGCCUCCAUCAUCAUCCAAAUCCAGUCGUCCACCACUACCACCACCAUUAGCGUCCGGAUCAACUGAUAAAUCCUCUAGUACCAUUGUACCCAUUGUAAUUGGAGUUGUGGUCGGGGUGGCAGCCAUGCUUCUACUUGCAUCACUUGUUUACCUGUGUACAAGCAAAAAGAAAAAGAAGAAGAGAAUAGAGUAUGAUUACUACAGUAGCGACCCAUCUCCUGCACUCAAUGGUACCACCUUCAAAACUUCAUCUUUCUGAUAAAUAACAAUGUAAAGAAGAGUUAUUUUCUUCCAUUAUAUAUGUGUGUAUAUAUAAAUUAUUACACUCCAACUUAGAUUCAAGUUUACGAUUUAACAGUUUAUAGCUCUAUAGAUUCAUAUGUUGAUUUCAUUUUUAAAUGAAAAAUGGUUAUAUAUGAAACGCACAUGCAGGUGGUAAUAGUUAUUAUCCAACUACUCAACGGCCAACUAAUAAUUGGCAGAUGGGAAACCAAUAUAACAAUGAUCAAAUGGGCAACUUACCUCCACCUCCUGGUGCUCAUGGGUGGCCAUCACCAUCACCACCACCUCCACCAGCACAAUCACCAGGUCCGCAACAACCUCUCCCUGGUACAAAUGCAUCAACUGGUAGUGACAAGAGCUCAAAUUUCUCAGGUCCACAUGGUCCAGCCUUGCCUCCUCCGCACCCAUUGGUGGCUCUGGGGUUCACUCACAGCUGUUUCAGCUACGAGGAGCUAGCAGCAGCGACUGACGGUUUCUCUAAAGCUAACCUACUAGGCCAAGGCGGGUUCGGGUACGUGCAUAAAGGAGUUUUGGCUAAUGGUAAAGAAAUUGCAGUGAAAAGUCUUAAAGUUGGCAGCGGACAAGGAGAUCGUGAAUUUCAAGCCGAAGUGGAGAUUAUUAGCCGUGUCCACCAUCGCCAUCUUGUGUCGCUUGUUGGAUAUUGUAUGGCAGGUGGCCAACGGUUGCUGGUUUAUGAGUUUUUACCCAAUUCCACCCUUGAACAUCACCUCUAUGGUAAGAAACCUCAAAUCAUUAGAGUAUUCUCCCAAGCAUUUCCCUCCAUUAUUAACCGAAACACAAGUUCCAUACUGAAAAAUGCACUUUGCCGUUGCGCGCAAAGAAGAAUUACACCUCCGGUCAUCAAUGCAUGUACCAAACAUUUUCAUUUGGUCAUUUUUUUCUUUCUCGAAAUUUUGCAGGUAAGGGUCAGCCUACCAUGGAUUGGUCCACUAGGCUCAAAAUUGCCCUAGGAUCAGCCAAAGGACUUGCUUACUUGCAUGAAGAUUGUAAGUCAUCAAUAAUUAUUACAUUAUUAAAGCUUCAACACUGAGAAUAAAAAUUAAACCUCUUGAAUGGCAAAACUUUCAUAAUUAACUUCAACAAAAAAAAAUAAUAAUAAUAAUAAAAAAGAUAAAUGUUUUCAUAUUUUUUUUUAAUUGUUCGAUUUGGCUCAAUUUUGAAUUAUGAUAAGUUUUGAUGAUUUCUGUUUGAUUUAAUUUUAAUAAUAAAAGUUAAAAUAACUAAAUAGAACUGAACUAUAUAUUUAUAUAGAAAUAUAAACAUAUUAUUUUAACAGACUUUGAAAUUUUGGUUAUUUUGAUUUUAUUUUUUAGUUAUUUCUAGAAUUUUAUUUUUUAUUUUUUUACAAAAAUUAGGUUAGUUUGAUUUUUUUUUUUUUUUUUUUUUUAAAGAACUUCCUUCUUAAUUUUAUAAAAUUCAAACUGAACGGACCGAAUGUUUACCUCUACUCUCCCAUUAUAACAUGUUUGAUACAGGUCAUCCUCGCAUUAUCCAUCGAGACAUUAAAGCUGCAAAUAUUUUGCUUGAUUUCAAUUUUGAAGCGAAGGUACGUUUAUCAUCUGCAAUAUUAUAUAUAAAAUUUAUUAAUUUUCCUCCAUUUUGGAUUAAUUUAGAUUGAAUUAGUUCGUCUAAUAAUUAUUUCUGUGUUGAAUCAACACUAAUUAUCAGGUGGCAGAUUUUGGGUUGGCCAAGCUAAAUUCAGACAAUUUUACCCAUGUCUCAACUCGUGUCAUGGGAACUUUUGGGUUUGGAUCUUUUACUUAAUUAAUUUUCGAUUUUUCCACUAAUUAAUAUCUCGAAAAAAUGUUAAUUUUAUAUCCAGUAAACGCAAACAUGUCUUACUGCUUGAGCAAUGGUUAAUUAGUUUCAUUAUAAUUAGAUAUUCACAAGCAAUAUAGAUUAAUCUGUAAUUGCAAUACGAAACUUAGAUGAAAGUUUAAUGGGAUUAAUUAUUAUAAUUAAAUAACUAAUGAUGAUUUUUUCCAUUGCAGGUACUUGGCUCCUGAGUAUGCAUCUAGUGGCAAGCUUACUGAGAAAUCUGACGUUUUCUCCUUUGGUGUAAUGUUAUUGGAACUCAUAUCUGGACGCCGUCCUGUGGAUAUAAAUUCAGAGAUGGAUGAGAGUCUUGUUGACUGGGUGACCAUUUCUCUACCCUUAACUUCGACUAAAAUUUAUUUUAAAACGAUGAAUUUCCAAUUCUCUUAAUCAUAAAAAUUAUAUGAAAGUAAACAAAUUAAAUUUUCUAACAGCAUUUUCCAACAUUUUUUGUAAAAACCAAUUCAAUCUAAAAGCAAAACAAACUAAAUAUGUAGAUUAUCUUGGAAGGUUAAAAUAGGAUGAUAAGAAUCUUUUAUGUUUUAAUUAGAAAUUUUGAGUUCGAGUUUUGAAUAUGGAGUUUUUUUUUUUUUUUUGAAAGAGAUAUGAAAUCUUUUUAAUAUUCGGGAAUAAGCAUUUUGCCCUGCUUUAUGGCCAAUCCGAUGUGAAUCUGGAUUAGUCGAGCUAAUAGGCACACUGGAUGAUUGAAACCAAACUAAAUAUGCGGAAGAAUAUCUUCAAAUGUUACUUGUUUUAUGCAUCCACAGGCGAGACCAUUAUGUGCCAGUACAGUGGAAAGUGGAAAUUUUCAAGCAAUGGCAGAUCCUCGUCUGGAUGGCAACUAUGAUUCAGCUGAAAUGGCACGCAUGGUUGCUUGUGCUGGUGCGGCCAUUAGACAUUCAGCCAGAAGACGACCAAAAAUGAGCCAGGUAAUUGCAAACAAACUCUUAAUCACAUAUUUAAUCAAUUACUAUUAUCACUAUUUUUUUUUAAAUAGAUUAGAAUAUUACUUGUUUAUCAACCAUCCCAGAGUCUCCAAAUAUGAAAUGUUUCGUGUAUAUUUAUGCUAAUUACAAAGAAUUUUAUCUACGAAGCAGAUUGUUCGAGCUCUAGAAGGCGAUGUCUCGCUAGAUCACUUGAAUGAAGGGGUCAAAACUGAUCAACGAGGGCUCGAUUCUACUAGUUAUAGUUCAGAGUAUGACAGUGCCUCAUAUAGUGCAGACAUUAAGAAGUUUAGGAAGAUGAUAUUAAUGGACAGUAGCCAAGAAUAUGCAAGCAGUGAUUAUGGUCACACAAGUGAGUAUGGACUCAACCCUUCCUCUUCAAGCAGCGAAGGUGAGACAGGUAGCGGAAAGAACAGUCCUCGAUGAAGGAAAAAUUAUCGGAUUCUCAAAUUUUAAGCAAAGAAAUUAUCGCCAUUGAUUGGUAUUUGGAUGAAUAGACUAAUUUUCAAGAACUGGGUUAUUACUAUUAAAAUGCGAGUUUAUUUCUUCUAGCAAAUGGGAAGAGUGAGAGUGAUAAUUUUAUCAUGAAACUGCAACUAUUUGUUUAGGUUUAGCCUUCAUCAAAUGGAUGAUGGUGAAGGCACAAUUACAUUGUCCUUGUCUUUGUAAUCUUGCAUUCGUCAUUAAUGGAGUUCUUGUAGAAUUUGUCGAUUUGAGUAAAUUUCUGUUGGAAAAUUGAUGCUUAUUAUUAUUAUUGUUUUAACACUAAGCAGUGGUAGAAGCUCAAAUUAACAACCAACUUGUCAAGCUCACACAGCUAUCUAAUAGAUUUAAGACUCUCGCUCUCGCGGUAAUUUAUAAAACCUCUUGAUCUGUUGAUGGUUAUUUAUAUAUAAACAAAAUAGAUAAACAUAACUUAGUUAAGAAUUAUAACUCUAUCAAAAAUAUAUAUAUAUAAUCGUGUUUGAAUAUCAACUUGUGAAUUUCAUUGAAUUUUUAAAAUUCAUUUGUGAAAUUCGUAUUUUUAUAUUUAGUAUUAAAAUUGUUCAUUUCAUUUAUGAUUUUUUCAAAAAAGUUUGAAUUUGUUAAGUUUAACAUAAUACAACAUCACUCUAUUGUGUUUGAAAUAUAUAUUCGAGAAUUUAGCCAAUUUAAAAAUAAUUAAAGUCCUUUUAAGAUUUAAUUUGGUAUUUUAAUGAAUUAAAAUAAAAGUAAUAGAAAUUAAUCAAAUUACCAUAGUUGAACUUUUAAAGUGCAUAAAACAGCUAUUUUCAUGGAAUAGUUAUUUCUAUAAAAUAGUUAUUCCAUAGAACAACAAAUUUCAGCGUUGAGUUUAGGAUGAACUUUUAAAUAUAUAAAUAAUUUAUUGCUUAUUAAUAAAAAAAAUUAACUAUUGUCAGAAAUUUAAGAAAAUAUUUUCUUUAAAAAAUAAGUAUUUUAUUAUAAUGUUAUUUCAUAUUGCGAAUUCAAUGCUAUUACUGUGUUCAAAUAUCGAACAAAGAAUUCGUAUAUGAAUAUAUGAUAUGCAAAUAUCUUUGAUACCAAAUUUAAAUGUGAAAAAUGUAAAAAUUUUGAAAAAUACGACACCUAAUUUGUAAAUUCCUGCACAAAUUAAAAUCGAUGAGUCUGGCCAAUAAAAAUUCAAAAUCGCAAAUGUUUUAUUUUCUGUAGUACCAAAAUAAUUAAUUAAUAUUAGAUUUGGAUACAUUAAAACAUAUCCUGCCCAAACUUUUGUCUAACAAGUUAAGAAACCAUGAUUUGGGGCAGUUUAGGAAUUAAAUUGACAGAACAUGGUGACGUGGCCUUUACUGAUUAGUCACACUCCAUCCUCCACCUUCGUAGCAUCAUUUUAUGCAUUGAGGUCACAAAUGGUAACGAGCAGAAAAUAUUAGAUCCCUCGUCUUCGAAAUUUCACUGCCAGAGAGAAACACAGAGAGAGGGAAAGGGUCUCUAUAAGUACGACAAUCUACCCUGCAGAUCUUGAAGAUUCGUAGCUUUUAGCAAUGGCUCAGCCUCUCAUAAAGAAAGACGACGACCGCGACGACGAAGGUAUUGAAUCCGUUUUCAUCUUCUUCACUUACGACACGAUCUCAUUUUCUACUCGAUUUCAUACUUCGAUUUCAAUUUCCCUAUUUAAUUUAGGGCUUAAUUGCAGAAUCCUAAGUUACCGGCAUUAGAUCAAUUGUUAGCUUCUAGAUCUGUGCCAUUCUCUUUUUAUAAACAUGUUUGCUUGUUUGUUUCAUUACAGUAGGUCCAAAUUUUAAGAGCUUUUAAGCUGAUUUGGUGUAGCUUUAGUUGAUCUGAUCUCUAUAACAAAGAUUGAAGUUGGUAUAUGCUUUCCUAAUCCCUAAAUCCCAAUGUGCAUUGGUAAUUCUGUGCAUCUCUGCUAGAAAAAGUUGAUCUAAUGGGACUUGUAAUUCUUAGUACAUAAUACAUAUGGCGCUCUAGUUGUUGUUUUUAUCGAUCUUAAUUGAACAAGUCCUUAUUGGUUAGCCAGUGGUAUUCAUUGUUAAGCCCUCAUUUUAAGGGAUCUGAUAGAGCUCUGUAUUUGCCAUCUUGCUGUAAAUCUCAAUAGAUUUAGUGCUCUUUCUAGAUUUAUCUAAUGUGGAUUUUCUGGUGACAUGGAUUACCUAGAUUAGUUAUUGAUGCACUAAAAAUUAUAGUGUAUUUUCAAUUAUGAUUAUAGUAUACAAGGAAGGACCAAUAACAUGUAUGAUUCUGUGAUAUUUAUUUUUGUCAGCGGAGUUCUCUCCAUUUCUUGGUAUUGAGAAGGGUGCAGUUCUUCAGGAAGCCAGGGUUUUCAAUGACCCUCAGCUUGAUCCAAGAAAAUGCUCUCAGGUUUUUGCUUUAUACUGCCUCAUUAUCUAUUUACAAUACAUAUGACCUGCUUGUGCUUAUUCAGAGAAAAAGAGGUAGGAGGGAAAAUAUGGGACCCAUUUGCUUAUGAAUUUUGGUAUGUUAUUUUUCUUUCAGGUCAUUACAAAGCUUCUAUAUCUUCUGAACCAAGGAGAAACAUUCACUAAGGUCAAGUAUUUCUGCUGGAGAGCUUACAUCUUGACUGUCUCAUGAGCAACGAGAGACAUGCUCUUUUUUUUUUUUUUGUAUAUAUUUGGAACAAAAUGAAACCUUGUCUGAAAUACUUUUUUUUGCAUUAUUCUUAUAGGUUGAAGCCACAGAAGUUUUCUUUGCUGUGACAAAGCUUUUUCAGUCCAGGGAUAUAGGUUUAAGGAGAAUGGUCUAUUUGAUGAUAAAGGAAUUAUCCCCAUCAGCAGAUGAGGUCAUAUUGCUAUGCUUUUAUUGGCAUCUCCUAUUUAUAAUGUUGUUAUUACUUAUUCUUUAGUUCAGAUGUAGAUACUGACUAGCUACAUUCUUCCCUACAAAAGGUUAUAAUUGUGACAAGCUCCCUUAUGAAGGACAUGAAUAGCAAGAGUGAUAUGUACCGUGCAAAUGCUAUUCGUGUGCUUUGUCGGAUAACAGAUGGAACCCUGCUCACCCAAAUUGAGCGAUACUUGAAACAAGCAAUUGUUGACAAGAAUCCAGUGGUUGCUAGUGCAGCCUUGGUUAGUGGUAUCCAUUUACUCCAGGUACUAUUUAAUUGUCUUACAUCUUCUUUUAGUUUUUGUUUUUGGAAUUACCUAAUAUGUUCUUUACUGUUUGGCAGACAAAUCCAGAGAUAGUGAAAAGGUGGAGCAAUGAGGUUCAGGAAGCUGUGCAGUCAAGAGCUGCCCUUGUACAAUUUCAUGCACUGGCAUUACUCCAUCAGGUAUGGUUAGAUUUGAGUUUAAUUAGCAUUCCCAGCUCUAUGUAGAAUUUGAAUAUGGUUUUUAUGAGAUAAAUCAAAGAUGGUUGCCUAAGUAAAAAGUUUCUCUUUGAAGAUCAAUGGUUGCAGGUGAUAUACUUGCUAAAGGUAAUUUGUUUUGUGGAUGCGGAGUGGAUUUGAGUUUAAGUUAACAACUUCAUUGCCAAUUAUCAGUUCUAUGAUAGCAUUUCUUUUAUCAAAAAAAUGGAUACAUACAUUAUUGAGGCCUUCUUGGCAUUCUUUUUGACUUACCAUUCUCUGAAUGUUGUGCAAUUGUGCUACAUUUUUGUUUCAUUUUCUAUUUCUUGAGUUAUAUAUGAAUGUUCAUAUUCUUUGUGCUGUAUUUUUUUUUUCUUGUAUUAGCUGAAUCAUUGCUCAGGCUGCUUGAAUGUGGAUUCAGUGGACCAUUUUAUUAAGAUGCUUGUGCUUUUAAAACCAUGCAGAUACGGCAGAAUGAUCGACUAGCUGUCAGCAAAUUAGUUACCAGUCUGACUAGGGGAACUGUUCGCUCGCCGCUGGCCCAAUGCCUCUUGAUACGUUAUACAAGUCAGGUUAGUGUAUGCCACUUGAACUUAUGUUUGACAGUGAUAUUUUUUAUUUUGUUACUAUACAUGAAAUUGUUUUUACGUGCAGGUUAUUCGUGAGUCAGGUGCUAACACUCAAACAGGGGACCGUCCUUUCUAUGAUUUUCUGGAGGGUUGUUUGCGCCAUAAGGCAGAGAUGGUGAUUUUUGAGGCUGCCAGAGCUAUCACAGAGCUUAGUGGUGUCACAAGCCGAGAAUUGACUCCAGCAAUCACUGUUCUGCAGCUCUUUUUGAGUUCUUCCAAACCUGUGCUGAGAUUUGCUGCUGUCCGCACCUUGAACAAGGUAAACGAGUUUUCCUUUAAGCUAUUAAAGGCUAGAUUUUGGUUUUUCGGGAAUGCUGCAUGAUGGGUGCAAGGGGAAUAGGUAUUUCUUUCAUGAUUUUCAAGGAUUUGGAAUCACAUGCUAAACUGCUGAAUGUUUCAUCGAUUUGAAGGUGGCAAUGACACAUCCAAUGGCAGUCACUAACUGCAACAUUGAUAUGGAGAGUUUAAUUUCUGACCAGAACAGAAGCAUUGCCACUCUUGCAAUCACAACACUGCUUAAGACAGGAAAUGAAUCAAGUGUAGAUCGCCUGAUGAAGCAGAUUACAAAUUUCAUGUCAGAUAUUGCUGAUGAGUUCAAAAUUGUUGUGGUGGAAGCCAUAAGGUCACUGUGUUUGAAGUUUCCCUUGAAGUACAGAACACUGUGAGUGAUAUUUUUACUAGGCUUCAUUGUCAUCUGUUCUCUAAUUUAUUAGCAACCACAAGUUUAUGUUUUUUUUUUUUUCUUUUUGUUUGUAGUAUGAACUUUUUAAGCAACAUCCUUCGGGAAGAAGGUGGAUUUGAGUAUAAAAAGGCAAUUGUAGAUUCCAUAGUCAUUCUCAUCAGUGAUAUCCCUGAAGCUAAGGAAAGUGGGUUGCUUCAUUUGUGUGAGUUCAUUGAAGAUUGUGAAUUUACAUAUCUUUCGACACAGGUGACUAUCUAUCAAUUUAGUGAUUUUAUUUAUUUGUGUUUUCCUUCCGUCCCCUUUAAAAUCUAUCCUAAUUCACUUGUUGUUAGAUACUCCAUUUUCUUGGGAUUGAAGGGCCAAAGACCUCGGAUCCCAGCAAAUACAUACGCUACAUCUACAAUCGCGUACAUCUUGAGAAUGCAACCGUUCGGGCUGCUGCCGUGAGCACGUUAGCCAAGUUUGGUGCUUUGGUUGACACAUUGAAGGUAUUACUGGCAUAUUUGUGUGCUUGUGUUGUUUGCUCCAACUAUUCUAGGUGAAUUGUCAGUUGCUGACUGUUGAUUAAUAUUCUUGUGCUCUCUAUGCCAGCCUCGCAUUUUUGUUCUGCUGAGACGUUGUCUUUUUGACAGUGAUGAUGAGGUAGGUUCCCAUAUAAUAAUGGAAUUGCUGAACGUUCUCUUCUAUUGGUACAUUUACAUUUUUUUGUUUCUAUCUGUAUGUAUGUUCAUUAUCAAUAUUAUUUUUAAUAAAAGAUUUGUUUAAUGUUGAAAUAUUCAAUUUAUUUCUCCGUUACUCCUUUAUAAUAGUUUGAAAAUGUUAUUGUUGUUAGGUUUGAUUUAUGCAGUUAUCUCUCUGACUUGUUUUACAGGUUCGCGAUAGGGCAACACUUUAUCUUAAUACUCUUGGUGGCGACGGUGAAGUAGUUGAAACUGAUAAAGAUGUACAAGCUUUUCUUUUUGGUCCACUAGAUAUCCCACUAUUUAACUUGGAGACAAGUUUGAAAAAUUAUGUAAGUUUUUUCUCUGUCCUGUACGUUUUGUAUAGCUAAAUGACAAUUUUCAUGUUUAUUAAUGCGUUAUUGUUAAAAUGAGAGAUUUAUGUCUAUUAACCUUUGAAUUAGGGAUUAUGCAUUAGGGUCGAGAAAUUUAUGGAUAACAUAUAGUGUGAUAAGCUCCAAUAUCAAUACAACUUAUUGGUGCAUAUUUUUAAAUGUUUAUUGAUUGUCGUCAUCUGAUAUAUAUUAUUGUUCUUACAGGAGCCAUCAGAAGAGCCUUUUGAUAUUCAUUCUGUGCCAAAGGAAGUUAAGUCUCAGCCACUUGCAGAGAAGAAAGCCCCAGGCAAGAAGCCAACUGGUCUCGGUUCUCCUCCAGCUGGUCCCCCAUCUACUGUUGAUGCCUAUGAAAAGCUUAUUUCCUCCAUCCCAGAGUUCUCGAACUUUGGGAAGCUCUUCAAGGUUUACAUUUUAAACUCUUUAACUCGUUGGCUGAAUUUAUUUUGCAUUAAUGAAUCUUUAGACUUACUAUGUGCUGUUUCCUUAUUGUUCCUUCAACAGUCAUCGGCACCUGUGGAACUUACAGAAGCAGAGACAGAAUAUGCUGUUAAUGCUGUUAAGCAUAUUUUUGAUGGGCAUGUUGUCUUCCAGUACAAUUGCACCAAUACAAUACCAGAGCAAUUACUGGAAAAUGUAUGAAAGCAACUUAAUAUUUUUCCAAGUGUGUAUGCUUAGGGCUGUCUUUAUAAUGUGUUUGUCCAUUUUUUCAGGUUAUGGUUAUUGUAGAUGCUUCAGAAGCAGAGGAAUUUUCAGAGGUAGCAUCCAAGCCUUUAAGAUCUCUCCCUUACGAUUCACCUGGACAAACUUUUGUGGCUUUUGAGAAGCCAGAGGGAGUCCCUGCAGUCGGGAAGUUUUCAAAUAUGUUGAGAUUCAUUGUUAAAGAGGUAUGCUUGCCUUCUUCCUGCAGUGAUAUAUAUGCUUUUUCUUUCUGAGCCUGUGUUUUUGUUGGUCUUGUAUUAGAAAAUAAAUUAGGAAAAAUUGUUAGGGUUUGCUGUGGUUUUAUGGCAUGCAUAUACUUGCACAGGCAACUUUUAAAGUGACUUGUACCUGUGCUCUUAUGAUUAUGCAUCUAAGAUUAACCAAAUGAAAACAUUUUGAAUUGUUACUGUAUCCACAUCAGUUGUAUUAUGAAUUUUCAUUUCUUUGACUGGGUGCAUUUGUCUAGGUUGAUCCAACUACUGGUGAAGCAGAUGAAGAUGGUGUGGAGGAUGAAUACCAACUUGAGGAACUGGAGGUCGUUGCAGCAGAUUACAUGAUGAAAGUUGGGGUAUCCAAUUUCAGGAAUGCAUGGGAAAGCAUGGGCCCUGAUUGUGAACGAGUGGAUGAAUAUGGCCUUGGCCCUAGAGAGAGCUUGUCUGAAGCUGUUAGUGCUGUCAUCAACCUUCUUGGCAUGCAGCCUUGUGAGGUUAGUUGGUGAAAUUAUUCAAUUGCAUAGUCAUCCUUUAAUUACUGUGAAGGCAAUUGAGGACAGAGUUUUUAGCCUAACAACCUCUUUGUUUUCUCAAUGCAUAUCAAGAAAAUGAACUGAUAUAAUACAAAUGAGAUCUGUUAUGCGAUCUCUCAAAAUAUUCUGUCAUUCUCUGUUGUAUAAUUUAAUUGGUCUUUUUUCCUCUUCGAGUUGUGCUUCAUAUUUGGACAACUAAACUAAGCAUAAUGCAAGCAUCCUGUAGGGAUGCUUUUAUGCAAUAUCUCAAACAGUUUUUUUGUCCUCAAAUUUUGUCUAUUUCUUCUGGGUUUUCUUGUCCAGGGCACAGAGGUUGUCGCAAGCAAUUCACGGUCGCAUACCUGCCUACUAUCUGGUGUUUUCAUUGGCAAUGUGAGGGUUCUCGUGCGAUUGCAAUUUGGAAUUGAUGGUGCAAGGGAUGUUGCGAUGAAACUGGCUGUCAGAUCUGAAGAUGAAUCUGUCAGUGAUGCCAUUCACGAGAUUGUAGCAAGCGGCUAAUGUGUCAAUCUAAUAACUGUUGCUUUCUUAUACUAGCGCCAAAUUUUUGAUGAGAUGACAUGCAGGAGUGUGUUGACAAUAGCCGAAAAUGCUUGUUAUAGAAAAGAGUCGUAUGCUAUGCCCUUUGGAGUGGGAGCUUGGCUUGCUGGGGAAAAUGAUUUGCAUUCAUCUCAGAGCUUCUCUCUCAUCUUUUAAUACGGCAAUGAUAUACUCUUUGUAUCAUGCAAAUCAGUUCUAAAGGAGGAUUUUAUUUUAUUUUACAUUUUUACCUUUUAAAUUUUUUUGUGGAAUUAGUUAUAGGUUCCAUCAAAGCUUGUUUGACAAUACUUGCGAGAUUUAAUCGGAUAAGAAUUUGGGAAGCAUCUUCCCCUUCUUUUUAUUUUUUUAUUUUUAAUUUUUACAUCCAAGCAUUGUGAAUUGGAGUAUUUGUUAAUUACACCAUUCAUUCGAGAUUCAAACACUCGUGUUAAUUGCAUUGUGGAAAGAUAGUUUAUAUUUUUAUGUCCAGAUAUUUUCAUUGAAGUUUUCAAAUUUUAACAGGUGUCUGUGUGCUCGAUGGCUGUGUGAAGGCAUAUAGAUAAACUUCUUAAACUUUAAAACAAAAAACUAACACUUCAAUUUCUAAAAUUUUUUAUUUAACAUUUUAAUUUGUAAAAUUUAAUUAAAAAAACGUACAAAUAAUUGUUUCAAAAGUAGCACCCAGAAACACAAAAAAAAACA